CUCUGUUUAGAAAGAUCUUAGCAGAACCAUUUCCCACAAGUUAUCAGAAUGAUUGUGUCGACAAUUUUUCUCAGUUUGUUACUGACUUUCUUAUCAUGUGUCCAGUCGGAGAUUGUUUUGACUCAGCCAGAGGCAGAGACUGGCCGUCCCGCAUGCAGCCUGAAACUGACCUGUAAAACCAGCGGGUUCGAUCUUAGCAGCUACGGCAUGAACUGGGUCGGACAGGUACCCGGAAAGGGUCUGGAGUGGCUGGUUCGCUACAAUAGUUCAUCCAGCAGUAACUAUGCACCAGCGAUUAAGGGUCAAUUUACUGCGUCCAAAGACACUUCAAACAACAUUUUCGCGUUGGACAUGGAGAACCUGAAGAUCGAAGACACCGCCAUCUAUUACUGUGCAAGAGACCACAACCAAUACUGGGGCCAAGGGACCAUGGUGACAGUGACUUCAGCAAUCCAGUGAAAGUGUCAGUUGGUGAGAUCUUCAAACAGUUACUGGGGUGGGAUCAGGAUGUUCUUCUUCCUAAAUUAUAU